CAGCAGCCGCGGUAAUACAGAGGGUGCAAGCGUUAAUCGGAAUUACUGGGCGUAAAGCGCGCGUAGGUGGUUUGUUAAGUUGGAUGUGAAAUCCCCGGGCUCAACCUGGGAACUGCAUCCAAAACUGGCAAGCUAGAGUAUGGUAGAGGGUGGUGGAAUUUCCUGUGUAGCGGUGAAAUGCGUAGAUAUAGGAAGGAACACCAGUGGCGAAGGCGACCACCUGGACUGAUACUGACACUGAGGUGCGAAAGCGUGGGGAGCAAACAGGAUUAGAUACCCCCGUAGUCCCUGUCUCUUAUAC
rnacentral:rRNA from 1 species